UACGUAGGGGGCUAGCGUUGUCCGGAAUCAUUGGGCGUAAAGAGCGUGUAGGCGGUCCGGUAAGUCCGCUGUGAAAGUCGGGGGCUCAACCCUCGAAUGCCAGUGGAUACUGUCGGGCUAGAGUUCGGAAGAGGCGAGUGGAAUUCCUGGUGUAGCGGUGAAAUGCGCAGAUAUCAGGAGGAACACCUAUUGCGAAGGCAGCUCGCUGGGACGUAACUGACGCUGAGACGCGAAAGCGUGGGGAGCAAACAGG
rnacentral:rRNA from 1 species